rnacentral:rRNA from 1 species
UACGUAGGGCGCAAGCGUUGUCCGGAAUUAUUGGGCGUAAAGGGCUCGUAGGCGGUUUGUCGCGUCAGGAGUGAAAACUCGGGGCUUAACCCCGAGCCUGCUUCUGAUACGGGCAGACUAGAGGUAUGCAGGGGGAGAACGGAAUUCCUGGUGUAGCGGUGAAAUGCGCAGAUAUCAGGAGGAACACCGGUGGCGAAGGCGGGUCUCUGGGCCGAUACUGACGCUGAGGAGCGAAAGCGUGGGGAGCGAACAGG